rfam:Nomascus leucogenys chromosome 10, whole genome shotgun sequence.
UCUCAGGCUGUGACCCUCUAGAGGGAAGCGCUUUCUGUUGUCUGAAAGAAAAGAAAGUGCAUCCUUUUAGAGGGUUACCAUUUGAGA